rnacentral:tRNA from 1 species
UAGCUCAGUUGGUAGAGUGCUUGCCUUGCAUGUAAGAAGCCCUGGGUUCAAUCCCCAG